AGAAAGAAGCUUUUCAGUUUGAUGUAGGACUACCACAUGAUCCAGCAACCUGACUUCUGAACAUUUAUCUGAAAGGAUUGAAAACAAAAUGUUGAAGAGGCAUCCUAAGGGGUAGCUUCACUCCAAGAGCUACAACCGAGCAGUAGCACAAAUGAGACCACAGGUGCUGAGUGUGAAAGCACGCUGACCAAGAAGCCAUUAAGGAAACCCGAAUUUGGAUCCUGA